rnacentral:rRNA from 1 species
UAGCCUUUCGAAAGAAAGAUUAAUAUCCGAUAGCAUAUAUUUCCCGCAUGGGUUUUAUAUUAAAGAAAUUCGGUAUGAGAUGGGGAUGCGUUCCAUUAGUUUGUUGGGGGGGUAACGGCCCACCAAGACUACGAUGGAUAGGGGUUCUGAGAGGAAGGUCCCCCACAUUGGAACUGAGACACGGUCCAAACUCCUACGGGAGGCAGCAGUGAGGAAUAUUGGUCAAUGGACGCGAGUCUGAACCAGCCAAGUAGCGUGAAGGAUGACUGCCCUAUGGGUUGUAAACUUCUUUUAUAUGGGAAUAAAGUUGUCCACGUGCGGAUUUUUGUAUGUACCAUAUGAAUAAGGAUCGGCUAACUCCGUGCCAGCAGCCGCGGUAAUACGGAGGAUCCGAGCGUUAUCCGGAUUUAUUGGGUUUAAAGGGAGCGUAGGCGGAUUGUUAAGUCAGUUGUGAAAGUUUGCGGCUCAACCGUAAAAUUGCAGUUGAUACUGGCAGUCUUGAGUGCAGUAGAGGUGGGCGGAAUUCGUGGUGUAGCGGUGAAAUGCUUAGAUAUCACGAAGAACUCCGAUUGCGAAGGCAGCUCACUGGAGUGUAACUGACGCUGAUGCUCGAAAGUGUGGGUAUCAAACAGGAUUAGAUACCCUGGUAGUCCACACAGU